AUGAUCAUUUUCACUCUCCUCUGCUUUUUGUGGGCGAGUCUUGAACACACAGAGGCAGAUGUAAUAAAACCUUUAUCCCUGGAUGAAAACAGUCAUGUUGGUGAUGCUGUUACUCUGUCCUGCAGUUAUAAAGAUUAUACGGGUACUGUUAAUGGUUUACAAUGGUACCGACAAUUACCCAGAUCCAAACCAGAGUUCAUCCUUUACAUCUUUGAAAGUGGAACUUUGAGUGAAGACAAACCAGACAGAUUUUCUGCUCAAGUUAAUAAAGACACCAAACAAGUGGAUCUGAACAUCUCCUCUGCUGUAGAAACAGAUUCUGCCAUGUAUUACUGUGCCCUGGUGCCCACAGUGACAGGAAAUACAACUGCAUCAUACAAAAACCUCACAUGCCUUCAUUAA